rnacentral:rRNA from 1 species
AUUGAACGCUGGCGGCAGGCCUAACACAUGCAAGUCGAACGGUAACAGGAAGAAGCUUGCUUCUUUGCUGACGAGUGGCGGACGGGUGAGUAAUGUCUGGGAAACUGCCUGAUGGAGGGGGAUAACUACUGGAAACGGUAGCUAAUACCGCAUAACGUCGCAAGACCAAAGAGGGGGACCUUCGGGCCUCUUGCCAUCGGAUGUGCCCAGAUGGGAUUAGCUAGUAGGUGGGGUAACGGCUCACCUAGGCGACGAUCCCUAGCUGGUCUGAGAGGAUGACCAGCCACACUGGAACUGAGACACGGUCCAGACUCCUACGGGAGGCAGCAGUGGGGAAUAUUGCACAAUGGGCGCAAGCCUGAUGCAGCCAUGCCGCGUGUAUGAAGAGGGCCUUCGGGUUGUAAAGUACUUUCAGCGGGGAGGAAGGGAGUAAAGUUAAUACCUUUGCUCAUUGACGUUACCCGCAGAAGAAGCACCGGCUAACUCCGUG